rnacentral:rRNA from 1 species
UACAGAGGGUGCGAGCGUUGUUCGGAAUUACUGGGCGUAAAGCGCGCGCAGGCGGCUCUUUAAGUCUGAUGGUCAAAUGCCGGGGCUCAACCCCGUGCCCGCCAGGGAUACUGGAGAGCUGGAGACACGUAGAGGCAAGCGGAAUUCCGGGUGUAGCGGUGGAAUGCGUAGAGAUCCGGAAGAACACCGGAGGCGAAGGCGGCUUGCUGGGCGUUGUCUGACGCUGAGGCGCGAAAGCGUGGGGAGCGAACAGG